rnacentral:pre_miRNA from 1 species
AAUACAUGUCGCCGUUGACUUUUAGUCACACGUUUGACCAUUCGUCUUAUUCAAAAAAUUUAUGCAAAUAUUAUUUAUUUUGUUAUGAAUUGGUUUAUUACUAUAUAUAUUUUAAACAUGACUUGUAUUUUUGUAUAUUUGCAUAAAUUUUUUGAAUAAGACGAAUGGUCAAAUAUGUCAUAAAAAGUCAACGGCGACAUGUAUU